AAUCACUUGAAACUGACUCAAAUACGUAAAAACAAGUUUAAAACACUAAACUAGACUCAAAGAAUGCAAAACUAAACUUUAAAACACCAAAACAAACGAAAAGACUCAAAACAGCAAACAAACACUCAGAACUGCCUUAAAAACACUUUCUGGGCAGUUUUGACACCUAACACUAAAUUGGACGAAAUUGGGUUAUAAUUUGACUCAAGACCCUUAAAAACACAAACUAAAUUAAUUUCUACUUAAUCUAACACUUUAAAUUAAAUGGGGAAAUGGUUUUGACGAAAAUUGAAAACAAAAACAAAACUUGUAAAUUGAACAAAUUCUAAAACGAAUUUGAGAAAAGUGAAUGGAUGGAAAGCUAGCUAUGGGGUUCUUCUCCACACAUGUCACACUUGCAUACAAAACGAUUUCCAAUUGCUUUUCGAUAAACCAUGAAUUCCCAACACCCCAGAUUAACCGUGAAUUGUACUAAUUAACCCUCAGAUUUUCCUUAAGUUAUUGAAUUGGAUGAAUUGCAUACGACAACCCAAAGCAUUCCCCACAAGUUCCCUACAUGAAUUGCAUAAUAGAGAUACAAGGAAGAAUCAUUAAGUUCUAUGACAAUCAUA
rnacentral:lncRNA from 1 species